AGUCAUAUGCUUGUCUCAAAGAUUAAGCCAUGCAUGUGUAAGUACAAGCCGAUUUAAGGCGAAACCGCGAAUGGCUCAUUAAAUCAGCUAUGUUUCAUUGGAUCUGUAAACCCACUUACUUGGAUAACUGUGGCAAUUCUAGAGCUAAUACAUGCAAUUGGUCUCUGACCGCAAGGGAAGAGCGCUUUUAUUAGUUCAAAACUGGUCGGGCCCCGGUCCGUAACCCACCUGUGGUGAAUCUGAAUAACUUCGGGCUGAGCGCACGGUCUCCGCACCGGCGCCGCUUCUUUCAAGUGUCUGCCUUAUCAGCUUUCGAUUGUAGGUUAUGCGCCUACAAUGGCUAUAACGGGUAACGGGGAAUCAGGGUUCGAUUCCGGAGAGGGAGCCUGAGAAACGGCUACCACAUCUAAGGAAGGCAGCAGGCACGCAAAUUACCCACUCCCGGCACGGGGAGGUAGUGACGAAAAAUAACGAUGUGAGUCUCAUCCGAGGCCUCGCAAUCGGAAUGAGUACACUUUAAAUCCUUUAACGAGUAUCCAUUGGAGGGCAAGUCUGGUGCCAGCAGCCGCGGUAAUUCCAGCUCCAAUAGCGUAUAUUAAAGUUGUUGCGGUUAAAAAGCUCGUAGUUGGAUCUCAGUUCCGGACUGACGGUGCACCGCCCGGUGUUUACUGUCACGCUCCGAACAGCCGCCCCGCCGGCUCGCACGGGAUGCUCUUUGUCGAGUGUCCCGAGUGGCCGGAGAGUUUACUUUG
rnacentral:rRNA from 1 species